rnacentral:tRNA from 1 species
GCCCCCGUAGCUCAGCCCGGUGAGAGCACCUGUCUUAUAAGCAGGCGGUCCCGCGUUCAAAUCACGGCGGGGGCA